rnacentral:rRNA from 1 species
AUUUAUGGUAAAGCUACAAAGGGUAAAUGGGGGAUGCCUUGGCAUUAAGAGGCGAUGAAAGACGUGGUAUAGCUGCGAUAAGCUUCGGGGAACUGCUAAACGAGUUUUGAUCCGGAGAUUUCUGAAUGGGGCAACCCUUUUAGGGUAACACCUAAAAAUGUGUGACUGAAUUCAUAGGUUACUCAAGCGAAUGAGGGGAAGUGAAACAUCUCAGUACCCUCAAGAAAAGAAAACAAUUGUGAUUCCCUCAGUAGUGGCGAGCGAACGGGGAAUAGUCUAAACCUUAUCUGUGUAAGCCUGUAAGCGUUGCAGAUAGGGUGUUGUGGGACUCUUUGGGUGUUAUUACAGAAACACCAAGAAGUUACAAAACUUAGUUUUAGUUGAACUAUCUGGAAUAGUAGACCAUAGAAGGUUAAAGUCCUGUAAAUGAAAAAGCUAAGACUUCUAAAGAGUAUCCCAAGUACCACGGGACACGUGAAAUCUUGUGGGAAUCCGGGAAGACCAUUUUCUAAGACUAAAUACUUCUUAAUGACCGAUAGUGUAAUAGUACCGCGAGGGAAAGGUGAAAAGAACCCCGGUGAGGGGAGUGAAAUAGAAUCUGAAACCGUUUACCUACAAGAGGUAGGAGGGCUAUGUAAAGAGCUUGCUCUUUAAAUGCCUGACUGCGUACCUUUUGCAUAAUGAGUCAGUGAGUUAUUCUCAGCGGCAAGGUUAAGCCGAAAGAGGUGGAGCCGUAGCGAAAGCGAGUCUUAAAAGGGCGAUUAGUCGUUGGGAAUAGACCCGAAGCGGGAUGAUCUAUCCAUGGUCAGGAUGAAGCAGGUGUAAGAACCUGUGAAGGUCCGAACUGGUGCCCUUUGAAAAGGUCUCGGAUGAACUGUGGAUAGGGGUGAAAGGCCAAUCAAAUUCCGUGAUAGCUGGUUCUCCUCGAAACAUAUAGAGGUAUGGCCUUGUAAAUUUAAGUAACGGAGGUAGAGCACUGAAUGGACUAGGGGUCCUACCAGACUACCAAACCCAAUCAAACUCCGAAUGCCGUUAACUUUGACUACAGGAGACAGACUGUGGGGGAUAAGCUUCAUAGUCAAAAGGGAAAGAGCCCAGAUCGCCAGCUAAGGUCCCUAAUAUAUGCUAAGUGGAAAAGGUUGUGGUAGCGCACAGACAGCUAGGAGGUUGGCUUAGAAGCAGCCAUCCUUUAAAGAAAGCGUAACAGCUCACUAGUCAAGCGAGACUGCGCCGAAAAUAUAACGGGGCUAAAGCAUAUUACCGAAGCUGCGACUUGUAAGAAUGAUUCGUCAUUUUUACAGGGGUAGAGGAGCAUUCCAUGGGCCGUCGAAGCAAGACCAACAAGGACUUGUGGAGGUGAUGGAAGAGCUGAUGCUGACAUGAGUAGCGAUAAAACGGGUGCGAAACCCGUUCGCCGUAAAUCUAAGGGUUCCUGAGGAAGGUUAAUCCUCUCAGGGUUAGUCGAUGCCUAAGUCGAGGCCGAAAGGCGUAGAUGAUGGAAAGUAGGUUAAUAUUCCUGCACCAUCAAGGUAGUGUUUGAACGAUGGGGAGAGAAGAAGGAUAAAUCAUCUUACCGAUGGAUGUGUAAGUACAUGCUCGAAGGAGGUGCUUUAGGUAAAUCCGGAGCACAUAUACUCUGAGGAGCGUGUGGUGGGGUCUAACCACCCUAGAACUGAUUGAUUCCAGACUUCCUAGAAAAACCUCUAAGUAAAUUACCUUGGUGAUCGUACCGCAAACCGACUCAGGUAGAUGAGGAGAGAAUCCUAAGGCGCUUGAGAUAAUUCUCGUUAAGGAACUCGGCAAUCUAACACUGUAACUUCGGGAAAAAGUGUGCCCUUUGUAGAUGAAGUCCCUCGCGGACGUAGUCGAGAAGGGUUGCAAUAACCAGGUGGUAGCGACUGUUUACUAAAAACACAGGACUCUGCAAAGUCGCAAGACGACGUAUAGGGUCUGACGCCUGCCCGGUGCUGGAAGGUUAAGGCAAGCGGUUAGCUCGUAAGAGCGAAGCUGUGAACCGAAGCCCCAGUAAACGGCGGCCGUAACUAUAACGGUCCUAAGGUAGCGAAAUCCCUUGUCGGGUAAGUUCCGACCUGCAUCAAUGGCGUAACGACUUCCAUGCUGUCUCAACGAGAUUCUCAGCGAAAUUGAAGGAUCGGUGAAAAUGCCGAUUACCCGUAGUGGGACGAAAAGACCCUGUGCACCUUUACUGCAACCUGGCACUGAGUUUUGAAAUGAUUUGUGUAGAAUAGAUGGGAGACUUUGAAGCGGGGGCGCUAGCUUCCGCUGAGUCGACAGUGAAAUACCACUCUGAUCGUUUUGAGAUUCUAAUUCAGGGCUGUAAUCCAGCUCGAAGACAAUGUCAGGCGGGUAGUUUGACUGGGGCGGUCGCCUCCUAAAAAGUAACGGAGGCGCGCGAAGGUUCUCUCAGGCUGAGUGGAAACCAGCCGUAGAGUGUAAAAGCAUAAGAGAGCUUAACUGUAAGGCUUACAAGCCGAACAGGUGCGAAAGCAGGCUUUAGUGAUCCGGUGGUUCUGAAUGGAAGGGCCAUCGCUCAACGAAUAAAAGGUACGCCGGGGAUAACAGGCUGAUCUCCCCCAAGAGUUCAUAUCGACGGGGAGGUUUGGCACCUCGAUGUCGACUCAUCACAUCCUGGGGCUGAAGUAGGUCCCAAGGGUUGGGCUGUUCGCCCAUUAAAGUGGUACGUGAGUUGGGUUUAGAACGUCGUGAGACAGUUCGGUCUCUAUCUACUACGGGCGCAGGAUAUUUGAGGGUGAUUCGUCCCUAGUACGAGAGGACCGGGAUGAACGAACCUCUAGUGUACCAGUUAUUUCGCCAGAAGUAGUGCUGGGUAGCUAUGUUCGGAAUGGAUAACCGCUGAAAGCAUCUAAGUGGGAAACCAACCCCAAGAUAAGAUAUCCCUGGAGCGCAAGCUCCCUAAAGACCCCUUGUAGACUACAAGGUUGAUAGGCUCGGUGUGUAAGAGCAGUAAUGUUCUGAGCUAACGAGUACUAAUUGGUCGUGCGUCUUUAUCAUAAAU